UAGGACAGGUUGGGGCCAAAGCUCUCAGAGAGCAAAAGGCUCAGAGGCAAUUUCAUAGGCUGUCGGAGAUGGAAAGAACCUGAGUUCAACCCCCUCAUUUCUCAGGAAGAAGGGAGCAGCUGAGUACUGCAGAAGCUAAGGGACUGGCUCAAGGCCACACAGUCAAUGAGAGCUGGGGGUCUAAGUCUCCUGACUCCUGGUCCUGGGCUUUUCUCAGGUUCAAACAUUUAUUUCCCAGAGCCAGCACCAAAUAGGACCUACCCUGGAGGUAUUCAGGAUGAAAAGGAUCAUCUUUGCCUUUAAGUUCCUAUGAGGGAGUUGGAGCCCAGACCAGAAGAAGAGGCCUCUCCAACCAAGGACUAGCAGCAGACGGAGAAUAUUAAUGGGGCCGACGAUGGGCUGUGUUCCCCCAAUAACUUUGGAAUGACCCUUCCCUGGUUUCCAGCACCCUCAACCUCACAUCCUAUUUCAUCUGUGGACAUGUGUAACCUCUCCUAGAAGACCAUAAACUUCUUGAGGACAAGGA